AACGAACGCUGGCGGCGUGCCUAACACAUGCAAGUCGUACGAGAAACACGUCCUUCGGGAUGUGGAGUAAAGUGGCGCACGGGUGAGUAACACGUGGGUAACCUGCCUUGGGGAUCGGGAUAACUGGCCGAAAGGCCCGCUAAUACCGGAUGAGACCACAUGAGCUACGGCUCAAGGGGUCAAAGUCGGCCUCUCAACGAAGCCGGCACCACAAGAUGGGCCCGCGGACCAUUAGCUAGUUGGUAGGGUAACGGCCUACCAAGGCUGAGAUGGUUAGCUGGUCUGAGAGGAUGAGCAGCCACACUGGAACUGAGAUACGGUCCAGACUCCUACGGGAGGCAGCAGUGAGGAAUAUUGCGCAAUGGAGGAAACUCUGACGCAGCAACGCCGCGUGGGUGAAGAAGGCUUUCGGGUUGUAAAGCCCUGUCAGGCGGGAAGAAACUUCCGCAGGUGAAUAGUCUGUGGAACUGACGGUACCGCCAAAGGAAGCACCGGCUAACUCCGUGCCAGCAGCCGCAGUAACAC
rnacentral:rRNA from 1 species